CACUCGUCACCAGCGUCCAGAACCCCUGCAGCCCUCGGCCUGCCCGCUGAGGACAGCACAGUCUGGAGGAAGUCCUGCAGAGCCCGGGACCGGGCACAAGGCCGGAGCCGCACAGCAGCAGCAAAGCAGGGGACCAGGGCCUGCACAGUGCCCCUGCACCCCAAGAGCAGGGGACAGGAAGAAAAGCUCCCUGGGGGCUUCAAAGACCAAGCUGAGGAGAGACGGCCCACCGGCACCUCCCACACCCUCCCUAGGGGGUGGCGACCACCUGCAGCACACGCCGAGCCUGGGGAGGGCAGGCGAGCGCCCCAGGUGCGUUCCCCAUGCGCACGGCCGCUGCUGAGGGCAGCGCUCACUUGAGGGCUUCCGGGGGCUCUGCGGCUUGCCGGGCCAGCCUCCCACCGCGUCCAGUCCUCACCUGUGGCUGCGUUCUGGAGCAGCUGGCUCCUCCUGGCGCCCGGGUCUCCUCCCUUUGCUAGGAAGCCAAUGGGAACGCGCCCACCUGUGCAGUCAGCCAGCGCCGCAGACAGUCCUUCCCCGAGAUUCCCCCGCCGUUCCUGCUUCGUGACAAAUGAGUUCCGUGUGUGGCGUUGCCGGCAGAAACCCAGCACUUCUGCCCCAGCAGCCGCCCAGCUGUCCGUCCAGAGUGAUAGGCACGCUUCCCUGUGCACGGGUGGCAGUGGGUGCCCGUCGGGACCUGGCCUGGUGUUGCCUUCGAGACCGUGGACUUGGAACGUGUAGGGGCUGGGUUGCUGGAGAGAAGCCCGGUGGCUGAGGUGCAGACCCGGAAGCCGCAGCCUGGUGUCAGAGUGAGCCCAGGGGACCGGCACACCUCCCUUGCUCGGCGCCUCCUGUGGGUACCUGCCUGGCACAGGGGGAGCAGGGAAGCCAGGCUCGCCCUCCCCUGGGGGGUGCAGUGUGGUGGGACCUGGAGCAGAACAGGUGCACCACGUCCACGUGGGAGAAGGCAGGCCCAGGCAGGGCCGCACCUGCCUCCCCUGACAGGGCCCUGCCGGGCUGGUGGGAGCUCAGACCGGAAGCCUAGUGUUUAAAUCGCCUCGGGGCCGGCAUCCUGGUACCUGGGUUAAGCCACCAUCUGCAGCACCCGCCUCCCCUAUCUGUGCCAGUUCUAGUCCAGGCAGCCCCACUUCCGACCCAGCACCUGCUGAUGGUCUGGGGAGGCAGGGGAAGAUGGCCCAAGUCCCUGGGUCCCUACACCCACGCGGGAGACCAGGUUGGAGUGCCUGGCUUCUGCCUGCCCACACCUGGCUGUUGCGGCCACUUGGGGAGUGAACCAAUGGAUGGAAGAUUGUCUCUCUGCCUCCCCCCCACCUCUCCCUCUCUCACUCCCUCUCUCUCUCUCCCCCACUCCCCUUCCCCCUCCCUCUGACUCUGCUUUUACAAAUAAAUGAAUCUGUUAAAAAAUGUCUUUGAAGCCU
rnacentral:lncRNA from 1 species